rnacentral:rRNA from 1 species
UACGAAGGGUGCAAGCGUUACUCGGAAUUACUGGGCGUAAAGCGUGCGUAGGUGGUCUUUUAAGUCCGUUGUGAAAUCCCCAGGCUUAACCUGGGAACUGCAUUCGAGACUGCAUUGCUAGAGUAUGGGAGAGGGAAGUGGAAUUUCCGGUGUAGCGGUGAAAUGCGUAGAUAUCGGAAGGAACAUCAGUGGCGAAAGCGACUUCCUGGACCAAUACUGACGCUCAUGUGCGAAAGCGUGGGGAGCAAACAGG